rnacentral:rRNA from 1 species
UACGUAGGGUCCGAGCGUUGUCCGGAAUUAUUGGGCGUAAAGAGCUCGUAGGCGGUUUGUCGCGUCUGCUGUGAAAUCCCGAGGCUCAACCUCGGGCCUGCAGUGGGUACGGGCAGACUGGAGUGCGGUAGGGGAGAAUGGAAUCCUGGUGUAGCGGUGGAAUGCGCAGAUAUCAGGAGGAACACCGAUGGCGAAGGCAGCUCCGCUGGAACGGAACUGACGCUGAGGCGCGAAAGCGUGGGGAGCGAACAGG